CCUACGGGUGGCAGCAGUGAGGAAUAUUCGUCAAUGGCCGGAAGGCUGAACCAGCCAAGCCGCGUGAGGGAGGAAGGCGCAGAGCGUCGCAGACCUCUUUUGCCGGGGGACAAAAGGCCGGACGGGUCCGGUUCUGAGGGUACCCGGAUAAAAAGCAUCGGCUAACUCCGUGACAGCAGCCGAGGUACUACGGGGGAUGCGAGCGUUAUCCGGUUUCAUAGGGUUUAAAGGUUGCGACGGCGGGCCUUUAAGCCGGCGGUGAUAGCGCGGGGCUCAACCCCGCCGAGCCGGCGGAACUGGGGGCCUAGAGUGCGGCGGAGGCAUGCGGAAUGCGCGGUGUAGCGGUGAAAUGCAUAGAUAUCGCGCAGAACCCCGAUUGCGAAGGCAGCGUGCCGUGCAGCCACUGACGCUGAGGCACGAAAGCGCGGGGAUCGAACAGGAUUAGAUACCCGUGUAGUC
rnacentral:rRNA from 1 species